rnacentral:rRNA from 1 species
CCUACGGGAGGCAGCAGUGAGGAAUAUUGGUCAAUGGACGCAAGUCUGAACCAGCCAUGUCGCGUGCAGGAAGACGGCCCUAUGAGUUGUAAACCGCUUUUGUCGGAGGGCAAAUCCCGAUACGUGUAUCGGGUUGAGAGUACCCUACGAAUAAGCAUCGGCUAACUCCGUGCCAGCAGCCGCGGUAAUACGGAGGAUUCAAGCGUUAUCCGGAUUUAUUGGGUUUAAAGGGUGCGCAGGCGGUUCGUUAAGUUAGCGGUGAAAUCUCGGGGCUCAACCCCGGCACAGCCUCUGAUACUGGCGGGCUAGAGUGUGGGAGCGGUAGGCGGAAUGUAUGGUGUAGCGGUGAAAUGCAUAGAGAUCAUACAGAACACCGAUUGCGAAGGCAGCUUACC